rnacentral:rRNA from 1 species
AUGAAGCGAGAAGUCGACGCGCCGAUUUUCGGCGUCCGGCCCUCCGCAAGCGCCCGCGGGAGUUCGGGUUCCGGACCUGGUCCGAUCCCGUUCCCUCCGUGGGGCUGUUUGCGAUCUGGAGGUGUCCUCGGACGGCGUCGUUUUCUCCAGUCCGCGACGCUACGGCUUGGAUGGCCUACCCGACCCGUCUUGAAACACGGACCAAGGAGUCUAACAUGCGCGCGAGUCGUUGGGUCGGACGCGCUCCGCUAAACCCAUAGGCGAAAUGAAAGUGAAGGCCCCUCUUGGGUGCCGAGGGAGGACGGAGCAAGUCCCCUCGUGGGACGGCUCCCGCACUCCCGGGGCGUCUGAUUCCUCAUUGCGAGGGAAGGCGCACCCAGAGCGCACACGUUGGGACCCGAAAGAUGGUGAACUAUGCCUGGCCAGGACGAAGUCAGGGGAAACCCUGAUGGAGGUCCGUAGCGAUUCUGACGUGCAAAUCGAUCGUCGGAGCUGGGGAUAGGGGCGAAAGACUAAUCGAACCAUCUAGUAGCUGGUUCCCUCCGAAGUUUCCCUCAGGAUAGCUUGCGCUCGGAGAAGAGUCUCAUCCGGUAAAGCGAAUGAUUAGAGGCCUUGGGGCCGAAACGGCUUCAACCUAUUCUCAAACUUUAAAUGGGUGAGAACUCCGGCUUGCUCGAUGAACUUUAUGAAGCCGGAGUCGGGGCCACGAGCCCCCAGGAUCGGAGUGCAUAGUGGGCCACUUUUGGUAAGCAGAACUGGCGCUGUGGGAUGAACCAAACGACGGGUUAAGGCGCCCGAAUCGACGCUCAUGGGAAACCAUGAAAGGUGUUGGUUGCUUAAGACAGCAGGACGGUGGCCAUGGAAGUCGGAAUCCGCUAAGGAGUGUGUAACAACUCACCUGCCGAAGCAACUAGCCCUGAAAAUGGAUGGCGCUGAAGCGUCGUGCCUAUACCCGGCCGUCGCGGCAGGGCGGGCCCCGUAGGGGUGCCGCUUGAUGCGGCGACGAGUAGGAGGGUCGCGGCGGCGUGCGCAGAAGGGUCUGGGCUCGAGCCUACCUGGAGCCGCCGCCGGUGCAGAUCUUGGUGGUAGUAGCAAAUACUCCAGCGAGGCCCUGGAGGACUGAUGUGGAGAAGGGUUUCGUGUGAACAGCCGUUGCACACGAGUCAGUCGAUCCUAAGCCCUAGGAGAAAUCCGAUACCAACGGCGAUGGGACGAACGAAAUUUCAAUAGAAAACAGCCCAUUGAUCGGGCGAAAGGGAAUCCGGUUCCUAUUCCGGAACCCGGCAGCGGAACCGCUGUUUGUCGGGCCCUCACAAGGGGUUCGUCAGGGUAACCUAAAAGGGCCCGGAGACGCCGUCGGGAGCCCCGGAAAGAGUUUUCUUUUCUGCAUGAGCGUUCGAGUUCCCUG